GACGAACGCUGGCGGCGUGCCUAAUACAUGCAAGUAGAACGCCGUUUCGAACGGGUGCGUCACGCGUAGGUAACUGCCUGGUCGCGGGGGAUAACUAUUGGAAACGAUCGCUAAUACCGCAUACUACCCGAUGGACCUGCGUUGUAUUAGCUAGUUGGUGGGGUAACGGCUAACCACGGCAACGAUACAUAUCCGACCUGAGAGGGUGAUCGGACAAACUGGGACGGAGACACGGCCCAGACUCCUAAGAGAGGCAGCAGUAGGGAAUCUUCGGCAAUGGACGUAAGGCUGACCGAGCAACGCCGCGUGAGUGAAGAAGGUUGUCGGAGCGUAAAGCUCUGUUGUUAGAGAAGCGGUAUCUAACCAGAAAGCCACGGCUAACUACGUGCCAGCAGCCGCGGUAAUAC
rnacentral:rRNA from 1 species